rnacentral:rRNA from 1 species
AUCUCUAUUGAAGCAAGAAGACCCCCUGAAUUUAAGCAUAUAAUUAAGGGGAGGAAAAGAAACCAACUCGGAUUCCCCUAGUAAUGGCGAGUGAAGCGGGAAGAGCUCAUGUUGUAAAUCUCCAGCUUGCUGGCGAAUUGUAGUCUAAAGGUGCGUGCUCAGUCGUGGUCCCGGGCUAAGUCUGUUGGAAAACAGCAUCAUGGACGGUGACAAUCCGGUUCUUGCCUGGGGUCCCGCGGCGUACGAGCCGUUUCCGACGAGUCGUGUUGCUUGGGAUUGCAGCACUAAGUGGGUGGUAAAUUCCAUCUAAAGCUAAAUAUUGGUGGGAGACCGAUAGCGAACAAGUACCGUGAGGGAAAGAUGAAAAGACUUUUGAAAAGAGAGUAAAAUAGUACCUGAAACUGCUGAAAGGGAAGCGAUUGAAGUCAGUGUUGCUCCUGGUCUUUUUGCCGUCGCCCCCGUGGGGGUUGCGGCGUGGGGCCUGGAGCGUUUCAACAUGCGUUCUGUUCCGCGGGAAAUGUUCAGUGUGCUGGAACCUUCGGGGAAACGCACUGUUCUUGUCGUGGUUAGGACGGAGGACCUUUGCUCCUUUGACUGCGCGUUCCUCUCUCGGGUAUGCUGGUGUCUACUGCUUGCAGUUUUCAUUUUCAUGCUUGCGACUGUGCGUGUUAUUCAUGAGCGAACAUGAUGUUGAAGAAAUGGCUUUAAUUACCCCGUCUUGAAACACGGACCAAGGAGUCUAACAUACGUGCGAGUACUAUGGUGGCAAACCAUUGUGCGCAAUGAAAGUGAAGGCUGGCUUCCGUCAGCUGAGGUGGGAUCCGCAAGGAGCACCAUCGACCGACCAUGUCCCUUCGGGGUAAAGGUUUGAGUGUGAGCAUUUAUGUUGGGACCCGAAAGAUGGUGAACUAUGCCUGAAUAGGGCGAAGCCAGGGGAAACUCUGGUGGAGGCUCGUAGUGAUUCUGACGUGCAAAUCGAUCAUCAAAUUUGGGUAUAGGGGCGAAAGACUAAUCGAACCAUCUAGUAGCUGGUUCCCUCCGAAAUUUCCCUUAGGAUAGCUG